rnacentral:rRNA from 1 species
ACGGGAGGCAGCAGUGAGGAAUAUUGGUCAAUGGGCGGAAGCCUGAACCAGCCAAGUCGCGUGAGGGAAGACGGUCCUAUGGAUUGUAAACCUCUUUAGCCGGGGAGCAAUAAACGCCACGUGUGGCGUGAUGAGAGUACCCGGAGAAUAAGGAUCGGCUAACUCCGUGCCAGCAGCCGCGGUAAUACGGAGGAUCCGAGCGUUAUCCGGAUUUAUUGGGUUUAAAGGGUGCGCAGGCGGUCUCUUAAGUCAGUGGUCAAAUCGUGGUGCUCAACGCCAUCCCGCCAUUGAUACUGGGAGACUUGAUUGCGGUCGAGGUUGGCGGAAUUCGUCGUGUAGCGGUGAAAUGCAUAGAUAUGACGAAGAACACCGAUUGCGUAGGCAGCUGACCAGGCCGUAAAUGACGCUCAUGCACGAAAGUGCGGGGAUCGAACAGGAUUAGAUACCCUGGUA